rnacentral:rRNA from 1 species
UAAACGGUUGUUGGUGGAUGACUUGGUUGGUCAGCCGAUGAAGGGCGUGACAAGCUGCGAUAAGCCACGGGUAGUCGCAUGAAGACGUUGAUCCGUGGGAUCCCGAAUUGGACUUCCUGAAGUGGGUUAAUACCCUGCUUCGUUCCAGGGUCAAAUCUGGAACGGGAACGCUCAGAAUUGAAGCAUCUUAGUAUGGGCAGGAAGAGAAAACAAUAGUGAUUCCCUGAGUAACAGCGAGCGAAAGGGGAAAAGGCCAAACUGAAUCCCAUAGCGAAGAGUUAUGGGAGAUGUGGUGUAAGGGCUUGAGGUCAGUGCCGAUGUAACGAAGCCGAACUCGUCUGGAACGACGGGGCAAAGAGGGUGAAACCCCCGUAGGUGUAACUUACAGGCACGAUCAAGUACCAGAGUAGCAUGGGUUGGUAAUCUCGUGUGAAUGACGCAGGAACAAUCUGCGAAGCCUAAAUACUUGACCAAACCGAUAGUAGACUAUGUAGCGCGAGCGAAAGUUGAAAAGUGCCGCGGGAGCGGGGUGAAAAGCACCUGAAACCAGCAAUCUAAUCAAAGGAUGCUGAUGAAAAGAAGAGAGGCUCUUCGAACGAACCACGGGUGACCGUGUAUUAGGAGAAGAGUGGAUCGAGUCAGCAUCAUCCGUCUUGAAACACGGGCCAGGGAGUUUAUGGGCGUGGCGAGGAUAAGGCAUUAAGCCGUAAACGUAGGGAAACCGAUAUGCUCGCAGCCUUCGGGUGAGGAGCGGCGUGUGAAAGUGCGCGUAGUCACUCCCAUAACACGAGAAACCAGUCGAUCUAGACCUGGUCAGGGUGAAGCCGGGCGAAAGCUCGGUGGAGGCCCGAUAGGGUUCUGACGUGCAACUCGUUCCGUUGAACUGGGUCUAGGGGUAAAAGGCUUAUCUAGACUGGUGAUUGCUCGUUCUCCGCGAAGUUGGUCGUAGCCAAGCCCUGCUUGAGGUAUCGUGUGGUGUAGAGCACUUUCGGAUCGGCUCGGGGAACGUAAAGUUCUUCACCGUCCUGAAAACUCCGAAUCUGCACGAACUGGAGACGGCAGGAGACGGGUGCCCGGGGUAAGCCCGGCAGGCCGAGAUGGGGAGAACCGAGAGUAUGGUUAAGGUCCCUAAGUACCAGAUAAGUGCGGUGAAGAAGGGUGUCGAGAGCCCAAGACAGUCUGGGGGUGAGCUUAGAAGCAGCUAUCCCCGAACGAAAGCGUAACAGCUCACAGACCGAGGCUCUCGGCCUUGAAAAUGGACGGGGCUAAAUCUGGUCACCGAGACCAUACGGCACGCGAGUAACAUUGCGUGAUCCGGUAGCGGAGCGACCCGGUUGGGUAGAAGUGGGGCCGUGAGGUCCCGUUGACCGGUCGGGUUUGAUGAUCCUGGCAGUAGUAACAGCGAAGCAUGGUGAGAAUCCAUGUCACCGAAAGGGAAAGGGUUCUUCGGCAAUGCGUCGUCAGCCGAAGCUUAGUCGAUCCUAAGUGUUACCGUAACACGAGUAACACGAAAGGGAAUCAGGUUAAUAUUCCUGAACCUAGGAGGUACGUUACGCGGCAACGCGAUGCCGGACUUGUAACUCAUCUGGAUACGCUGAGCACCGCUUUCGCGGUGUUUAACACUAUAAUUCUGUCGAGUACCGUAAUGGUGAGAAGCAGAAGAAAGGUGGAAUAGCGAGUGGUCGGACACUCGUUCAGCCGAUUCCUGGUGACCUUGAAAAUCGAGUCCGGAAGAAUCCUCCUAGUCCGUACCCAGAUCUGACACAGGUUCCCUGGUUUAGAAGACCAAGGUGUAUCGGAGUCAACUCUCCUGAGGGAAAUCGGCCAAUUAGUGGCGUAACUUCGGGAUGUGCCAUGCCUGGAUUGGUUCACGCCUUUCCAGGUCUUAGUAACUCAGGGGUUCCAACUGUUUAAUACAAACAUAGCUGACUGCGAGCGCGAAAGCGUUAGUACAGUCAGUGAAUCCUGGUCUGUGCCCGUCAGUCAAAACUCCGGAAGGGGUCUAAGCUCGGGUUAACGCCGGGACUAACUAUGAGUCUCUUAAGGUAGCCAUAUGCCUUGUCGGUUAAAUGCCGACGUGCAUGAAGGGAGCAAUGAGAGCCCCACUGUCCCCAGGAGAGCUCCGGUGAACCUACACCAUACCGAACAGUGUAUGUAGUCCUAAUGGGAAGAGAAGUCCCUGCGGAGGUUUACUACGCAGCAUGUAGCUGCCAGUUCUGGUGUCAUACAGAGCGUAGUCAGGAGCGUUGAAUCACACUCUCCGGGGUGUGAGGAUGCAACCAUGUAACACUGACUAUGGCAUUGGGGCUGGCUAACCUAAGCCAAGCGAGCCUAGGGACACCUGCAUGUAGGCAGUUGGGCUGGGGCGGCACAGGGCUGACAAGAGAUCAGCCCUGACCAAUGCUAGACUCAGAGGCGAUGGAAACGUCUCCUAGAGAUCAAGGGUAUAAGUCUGGCUGAUUGGUCGCCGAAAAAUAACGCGACCAGGGCCGAAAGGCUGGCCUAGCGAACGUUUCGCUCCUCAAUUGUUCAGGCGAGACAUGACAAAAAACUUACCCCAGGGGUAACAGAGUUGUCGCGGGCAAGAGUUCCUUUUUCCCUGCACUACGCAGGGGGAGAACAGAUCGACCCCGCGGCUUGCUUCCUCGAUGUCGGCUCUUGAUAUCCUCGGGUCGCAUAAGGCCCGAAGGGUGCGGGUGCACACCGAUUAAAAUCGAACGUGAGCUGGGUUUAGACCGUUGCGAGACAGGUCGGUUUCUAUCUAUUAGGACUGUUGGAUGUUUGACGGUAACAGGAUGCCGGUACGAGAGGAACGCAUCGUGGUGGCCGAUGGUGUACCCAUUGUCUGAUAAGGCACCGUGGGGUAGCUAAGCCAUAAGGGAUAAACGCUGAAUGCAUCUAAGCGUGAAGCCCGACCGAAAACUAAACAUCCACUUAACUAGCGCCGCAAAGAAUGCAGCACGGGACUGGUGACAGUAACGUGUGGCUAGGAAACGAGGACUCUUGUAGAAGACAAGGUAAAUAGGGCGGGGGUGUAAGCACCAAGUUUCGACGAGGUGUUCAGCUCACCGCUACUAAUGUCCGAGGCGUGCGGUUC